CACAUGUUGAUUCAUCUGCCCACAACGCUGAUGAGGGUUAUUCUCCUCCCCACCCGACCCCUCACACUCCCACGGGUGAUGAACCUUAAACUGUGGUCCUUCCCCAGCGGGCCUUCGCGGUGGCCGCACCAAGCUUGAGUGCAUCCCUCAGCACGGACUCCUGCAGACGAGAGUGAGCCAGUCGGCAGCAUUCAGUCAUGGACAUCUCCAUGUGCUGGCACACCACCAAGUUCCGGGCAGACCAAAGCGCGUCUUUCACCGAGUUGAUGAUCUGCCGGCAGCACCGGAUGUUUGUCUCCGUGUGCGUCCCCGAGAACAGCCCGUAGAUCACGGAGUCCUCGGUAACGCAGCUGCUGGGCAUGAAUCUUAGCACUGUCCCCUCCAUUCUCCUCCACACCUUUUUCGCGAACCCACAGUGUGCAAAGAGAGUUCCAGUGACUGGGACAAUCUCCAAGCAAAAUGCAAAUGAGGUGGGGGCCAGAUGUGCCAUGUUUGUCCUGAAGAAAUGUGGAGGUCACCCUGGGUCAGCUGAGUUGUGGAGCCUUCUCAGGGAAAAUUCUGAAGCCAAACUUGCACUCAUGGAUGCAGAGAUGUCCAAUACAUUCAAGUCUGUUUUCAGUAUCUACACAAGAGACCUUCGAAUGAAGCAAGAACCACAGCUGCGUCUUGAUUGUUUAAGAGAUGAAUGGGAAGAAGAUUUUCAAAAGCUCCCCAGAGCCCAGCUUCUGAAAAGUGCCAGUCAUGUGCAUAACUGCUUGGGCCUAAUGAAGAGGGCUUCCACUAUCAACAAAGAUAGGGCCACGGUUAUUAUCGCCAACAAUCCUUUGGCUGACCUCAAUGACCUGGAUGGCAAGGACACCCCAAUGCGCUUCCUAAGCAAGAAUCCAUCCAAGCUAAAAUAUCCUCUGAGGAAGCACCCAAUCUUACCUCCUCUAAAAGAUGGCAAAUGCCAACCUUCAAGCACCCCAAAGCAAGAAGAGAAGGGAACCUCUCAGGAAAAAAUUCUGCCAACUACAAAGAAAGAAUCGUUUGCCUCUUUGUCUAAGAGAAAGGACUGCAGGAAGAUUCCGAAGCCAGCUUAUCUACAGAGUCCAAAAUCAAUGGCUAAACCAAGUAACUGCACAACAGAUAAAAAAGGGUUUUAAAUAUUAGUGAAGAAAAUACAUUUCAUGGAAAUGAAUAUGCACAUUGUUUAGCUUUAGUGUUGCUCUGCCAACAAUUAUGAAGUUACAAGUAUCAGGUGCUUAGAGUAAGUGAGAGAUGAUCACUCACUUAGAGUAAGUGAGAGAUGAGAGAUGCGUCUCUCCCAUUCUUUACACUCCCUAUCCCACUAGACCUCUCCCAAUCCUCUUUCAUUACAACAAAUAUAUUGGGGGAAAGAGCUAUAAAAUUAUUAAAUAGAUGAGUUGAGGAAUCCGGAGCAGUAUUGUUGGAAAGAUGUGGUAUGCUAGAGAUAUAAUUGAUGAGAGUCUAGUCAAAACUACUGCAGAGCCUUUGUUCUAAUUCCAAGUUAUUUUUCAUGUGAAUGCUGCUUAUCUGAUGCUAUGUGUCCGUGAUGCAGCUUUGCCCUUGUGUGUACUCUACAUAUACUUGUGCCCAUAACAAUAAGCUUGACUUUGACUUUGAAAAACUACAGACUGGACUAAUCAAAUGAUAUGGACUCAAAUUCUGCCAUAACUAUUUCGUAUCUUAAUCAUAGUUAAUUGAAAUACAUUUUGAAUAUCUAUUAUCAGUAAUGAUAGGCACGAUACUACUGAAUAGCUGUGGAGAAAUGUGAUGUACAUUUGAGUCCAAAGCGGUUGACAAUUAACUGCCCAGUGAAAUAGCCCAGUAAAGCAUUCAGCUAAUGAAAUUCCAAGGGUUUGCUAAUAAACUCUGAUCUUGACAUUGAAUUCCAUAUUUCAAAAAUGAAGAUGAAGUGAUUUUUCAGAGUUACUGAACUAAAGCUUUUAAAAAUAAUAUUGGCUGAUUUUCAGAACAUGGAAUUGCCUGGAACCAGAACACAGGAGGUUUGAACCCCUGGUCUUUUGAACUAUCAGAGACAGAUACAAAUUUCCAUACUCUCUUGUGGGAGCCUUUGAUAGGGAGGGAUUUCAAGAGAUGUGAAUACAUAGCUUCAGGCAAGGGGAAUUUUAAGCAUGUUCUGGAUUCUCACUGAAAUGUCAGCGAGGAUCAGUUUGAAAUUAAUUAACGUAUCAGAAAAGGCUUAGAAAUGUUGAUUAAUAUAUAAGGCUGCAACUUCUGCACAACCCAUUGUCUGUAUUGGACAUGUACAGGUAAUGAUAACUGCAAGCUUGACCUAUAUUGAGUAGUAAAGUUAGAGCAAGCUUGUAAACUCAUUGCACGUUCCGUGCUCUCGAACAUCUGAUAUCAUAAGCACAAGAGAUUCUGCAGAUGCUGGAAAGCCAGAGCAAAACACAAAAAAUGCUGGAGGAACUCGUCAGGUCAGGCAGCAGUUGUGGAGGGGAAUAAGCAGUCAAUUGGGCCAGAACCCUUCAGCAGGAUUGGAAAGGAUGGGGGAACAAGUGAGAUUAAGAAGGUGGGGAGAGGGGAAGCAAGGUGAGUAGGGAUGAACUAAGCAGAUGGCAUAUGAAAGGUGGUUGACAUUUUGGGCUGAGAUUCUUCAUCAGCACCGGCUCGUAAUGCCAACUGUUUAUUCCUUUUCAUAGAUGCCGCUUGACCUGCUAAGUUCCUCCAGUGUUUGUGUAUGUGUGUGUGUUACUCUGGAUUUCCAGCAUCUGUAGAAUCCCUUGUGUUUGUGAGGUGUUAAGCGGACAAGGUAAAGGGCGGAAGAACAAGGAAUCUAAUUUGAGAGGACAGAGGACCAUGGAAGAAAGGAAAAGUGGAGGAGCACCAGAAGUAGGUGAACGGUGUGGAGUAAGAUUGAGGAGGAUCAAAGGGAGCUUUGCUACCGAACAAGAGUGCUACCUACACCUGGCCCGACAGUGUAGGGUACUGGUAGCUGGAACAAUGAAACCUCUGGUUACUAACUCUGAUUAUUUUCCACCUCGCUGAACAGAAGUAUUGCAAUAAGUGAAGAUAUUAGCUGAACUUGCACAGAUUACGAUGAAUUAGAUAAAAGGGUACAUUGUUCUAAGGGUGAAAUAUGAUUUGCAUGUUUGUGAUAACUCAGUCGUGUUCAGUCAUUGGAAAAACUAAUGAAUGUCCUUAUGUGAAACACACUCAAUAUUAUGUAAAUUUGCCAUUUUACACAUUCUGUCCCAUUUAUAUGAACAUAUAUAUGCAUUAUUUUAUUUACCAUGUACAAUAUACUGUAUUAAUGUGUACAAUAUAUAUUACUUUAAUGCACCAUGUUAUAUAGUAAAAAAAUUCUUUCUUACUGUAUAUCAGAGCAUUUGUACCUUUGUACACAAAAAUAUUUUAUUAAAGUAUAGAAAGUGUUAAUUAUAUAAAGUAGCAUCAUUUCAGUUUUACAUCUGUAUUAUAAGUAUUUGAUUUGUUUGGCUGAAGCUUUAUUGAUAUGUGACUAAGCAAUUUUCAUUUUUACUGUAUUUAAUUGUCUAAUUUUAUCAAGCAACGUGCUUUGAAUGCUGAGCAACACACACAAAAUGCAUAGGAAUUCAGCAGGCCAGGCAGCAUUUUGUGUGUAUUGCUCUGGAUUUCUAGUACUCUCUUGUGUUCAACUUCAAAUGCUGUUGUUUCAAGUGACUGUGGAUACAUUAUUUUGUGCAGUGAGAUGGGAAUCUUGAAAUAAAAGUAGUCAAUGCUGGAAAUACAUUAGAGAUUGCAAUAAAUGACAAAUAAGAGUGGUGUCUUGUAUCAUUCCCCUAACUCAUUCA